GACGAACGCUGGCGGGGGGAGGAACGAAGGCAAGUCGAACGGAAAGGCCCUGCUUUUGUGGGGUGCUCGAGUGGCGAACGGGUGAGUAACACGUGAGUAACCUGCCCUUGACUUUGGGAUAACUUCAGGAAACUGGGGCUAAUACCGGAUAGGAGCUCCUGCUGCAUGGUGGGGGUUGGAAAGUUUCGGCGGUUGGGGAUGGACUCGCGGCUUAUCAGCUUGUUGGUGGGGUAGUGGCUUACCAAGGCUUUGACGGGUAGCCGGCCUGAGAGGGUGACCGGCCACAUUGGGACUGAGAUACGGCCCAGACUCCUACGGGAGGCAGCAGUGGGGAAUAUUGCACAAUGGGCGGAAGCCUGAUGCAGCAACGCCGCGUGCGGGAUGCCGGCCUUCGGGUUGUAAACCGCUUUCGCCUGUGACGAAGCGUGAGUGACGGUAAUGGGUAAAGAAGCACCGGCUACCUACGUG
rnacentral:rRNA from 1 species